rnacentral:rRNA from 1 species
UGGGGAAUUUUGGACAAUGGGCGAAAGCCUGAUCCAGCCAUGCCGCGUGCAGGAUGAAGGCCUUCGGGUUGUAAACUGCUUUUGUACGGAACGAAAAGACUCUGGUUAAUACCUGGGGUCCAUGACGGUACCGUAAGAAUAAGCACCGGCUAACUACGUGCCAGCAGCCGCGGUAAUACGUAGGGUGCAAGCGUUAAUCGGAAUUACUGGGCGUAAAGCGUGCGCAGGCGGUUAUAUAAGACAGAUGUGAAAUCCCCGGGCUCAACCUGGGAACUGCAUUUGUGACUGUAUAGCUAGAGUACGGCAGAGGGGGAUGGAAUUCCGCGUGUAGCAGUGAAAUGCGUAGAUAUGCGGAGGAACACCGAUGGCNAAGGCAAUCCCCUGGGCCUGUACUGACGCUCAUGCACGAAAGCGUGGGGAGCAAACAGGAUUAGAUACCCCUGGUAGUCCACGCCCUAAACGAUGUCAACUGGGUUGUUGGGUCUUCACUGACUCAGUAACGAAGCUAACGCGU